rnacentral:rRNA from 1 species
AGUGAACGCUGGCGGUAGGCCUAACACAUGCAAGUCGAACGGCAGCACAGUAAGAGCUUGCUCUUACGGGUGGCGAGUGGCGGGCGGGUGAGGAAUACAUCGGAAUCUACUUUUUCGUGGGGGAUAACGUAGGGAAACUUACGCUAAUACCGCAUACGACCUACGGGUGAAAGCAGGGGAUCUUCGGACCUUGCGCGAUUGAAUGAGCCGAUGUCGGAUUAGCUAGUUGGCGGGGUAAAGGCCCACCAAGGCGACGAUCCGUAGCUGGUCUGAGAGGAUGAUCAGCCACACUGGAACUGAGACACAGUCCAGACUCCUACGGGAGGCAGCAGUGGGGAAUAUUGGACAAUGGGCGCAAGCCUGAUCCAGCCAUACCGCGUGGGUGAAGAAGGCCUUCGGGUUGUAAAGCCCUUUUGUUGGGAAAGAAAAGCAGCAGGUUAAUACCCCGCUGUUCUGACGGUACCCAAAGAAUAAGCACCGGCUAACUUCGUG